AGAGGGUGCAAGCGUUAAUCGGAAUUACUGGGCGUAAAGCGCACGUAGGUGGUUAUCCAAGUCAUAUUUGAAAGCCCCGGGCUUAACCUGGGGAGGUGAUGUGAAACUGGGUGACUGGAGUAAGUGAGAGGGUAGUGGAAUUUCCGGUGUAGCGGUGAAAUGCGUAGAUAUCGGAAGGAACACCAGUGGCGAAGGCGGCUACCUGGCAUGAUACUGACACUGAGGUGCGAAAGCGUGGGUAGCGAACAGGGAUUAGAUACCCUGGUAGUCCACGCCGUAAACGAUGAAGACUAGCCCGUUGGGAACUUAGGUUUUUAGUGGCGUAGCUAACGCGAGAAGUUUUCCGCCUGGGGAGUACGGCCGCAAGGUUA
rnacentral:rRNA from 1 species